rnacentral:piRNA from 1 species
ACAAACAUCUUGAGUGCUGGGCAGG